UACAGAGGGGGGCAAGCGUUGUUCGGAAUCACUGGGCGUAAAGGGCGCGUAGGCGGUCUGUCGCGUCGGCUGUGAAAACCCGGGGCUCAACCCCGGGCCUGCAGUCGAUACGGGCAGACUAGAGUGCGGUAGGGGGAGACUGGAAUUCCUGGUGUAGCGGUGAAAUGCGCAGAUAUCAGGAGGAACACCGGUGGCGAAGGCGGGGUCUCUGGGGCCGUAACUGACGCUGAGGAGCGAAAAGCGUGGGGGAGCGAACAGG
rnacentral:rRNA from 1 species